UUCAAUAUUCAAUAUUAUCUGUGUUUUUAUAGCUGGAAUGUCAACUCAACAUCAAGAAGAGCUGAAAGUUUAGAGCUAUCUUUCAAGAAAUUAUUCUAUUUUUAUCAUUCUUAUUAAUAGAUAAUGAUAAAUAAUCAUUACUGAAUAUUACAAUGGAAAAUUGUUAAUCAUAGCAAUGAAUGUAGUGGUUUAAAUCUUCCUAAACAAGAAACAAGUCUUUUGUGAUAGAGAUUAAUUAAAUUAAUGUUCAAUGAUAUCUCUCUGUGUUUCCAUAGCUGGUGUGAUCACUAAUAAUCAAACUGGAGUGACAACGCAGACAACUACAGCUGGAAGGACAACUCAG